UUUUGUAUAAUGGGUCAGCGACUUAUAUUCUGUAGCAAGGUUAACCGAAUAGGGGAGCCGAAGGGAAACCGAGUCUUAACUGGGCGUUAAGUUGCAGGGUAUAGACCCGAAACCCGGUGAUCUAGCCAUGGGCAGGUUGAAGGUUGGGUAACACUAACUGGAGGACCGAACCGACUAAUGUUGAAAAAUUAGCGGAUGACUUGUGGCUGGGGGUGAAAGGCCAAUCAAACCGGGAGAUAGCUGGUUCUCCCCGAAAGCUAUUUAGGUAGCGCCUCGUGAAUUCAUCUCCGGGGGUAGAGCACUGUUUCGGCAAGGGGGUCAUCCCGACUUACCAACCCGAUGCAAACUGCGAAUACCGGAGAAUGUUAUCACGGGAGACACACGGCGGGUGCUAACGUCCGUCGUGAAGAGGGAAACAACCCAGACCGCCAGCUAAGGUCCCAAAGUCAUGGUUAAGUGGGAAACGAUGUGGGAAGGCCCAGACAGCCAGGAUGUUGGCUUAGAAGCAGCCAUCAUUUAAAGAAAGCGUAAUAGCUCACUGGUCGAGUCGGCCUGCGCGGAAGAUGUAACGGGGCUAAACCAUGCACCGAAGCUGCGGCAGCGACACUAUGUGUUGUUGGGUAGGGGAGCGUUCUGUAAGCCUGUGAAGGUGUACUGUGAGGUAUGCUGGAGGUAUCAGAAGUGCGAAUGCUGACAUAAGUAACGAUAAAGCGGGUGAAAAGCCCGCUCGCCGGAAGACCAAGGGUUCCUGUCCAACGUUAAUCGGGGCAGGGUGAGUCGACCCCUAAGGCGAGGCCGAAAGGCGUAGUCGAUGGGAAACAGGUUAAUAUUCCUGUACUUGGUGUUACUGCGAAGGGGGGACGGAGAAGGCUAUGUUGGCCGGGCGACGGUUGUCCCGGUUUAAGCGUGUAGGCUGGUUUUCCAGGCAAAUCCGGAAAAUCAAGGCUGAGGCGUGAUGACGAGGCACUACGGUGCUGAAGCAACAAAUGCCCUGCUUCCAGGAAAAGCCUCUAAGCAUCAGGUAACAUCAAAUCGUACCCCAAACCGACACAGGUGGUCAGGUAGAGAAUACCAAGGCGCUUGAGAGAACUCGGGUGAAGGAACUAGGCAAAAUGGUGCCGUAACUUCGGGAGAAGGCACGCUGAUAUGUAGGUGAAGUCCCUCGCGGAUGGAGCUGAAAUCAGUCGAAGAUACCAGCUGGCUGCAACUGUUUAUUAAAAACACAGCACUGUGCAAACACGAAAGUGGACGUAUACGGUGUGACGCCUGCCCGGUGCCGGAAGGUUAAUUGAUGGGGUUAGCGGUAACGCGAAGCUCUUGAUCGAAGCCCCGGUAAACGGCGGCCGUAACUAUAACGGUCCUAAGGUAGCGAAAUUCCUUGUCGGGUAAGUUCCGACCUGCACGAAUGGCGUAAUGAUGGCCAGGCUGUCUCCACCCGAGACUCAGUGAAAUUGAACUCGCUGUGAAGAUGCAGUGUACCCGCGGCAAGACGGAAAGACCCCGUGAACCUUUACUAUAGCUUGACACUGAACAUUGAGCCUUGAUGUGUAGGAUAGGUGGGAGGCUUUGAAGUGUGG
rnacentral:rRNA from 1 species